AAGCUCGGUUCGUCUUGUCCUGUUCUGAUGCUGCCCUGCGAGGGGAUGUGCUCGUCUGGCUUGACGUCCCUUCACUAUUCCACCCCACUGUGAACCAAGUGUGUGGAACGAGGGAGAGAUCCCGAGGUCCGCAUGCAAACAUACAAUAUACCCCAUAUUAGUCUCAGAAUGUACCUUGCGUUAACUCGCACAAAUAUAACUUUCAACAACGGAUCUCUUGGCUCUCGCAUCGAUGAAGAACGCAGCGAAAUGCGAUAAGUAAUGUGAAUUGCAGAAUUCAGCGAAUCAUCGAAUCUUUGAACGCACCUUGCGCCCCUUGGCAUUCCGAGGGGCACGCCUGUUCGAGUGUCGUGAACUCCUCCACCCUCUACCUUUUUCGAAAGGCAUUGGGCUGGGAUUUGGGAGCUUGCGGGUCCCUGGUCGAUCCGCUCUCCUUGAAUACAUUAGCAGAGCCCCUGCGGCCUCGGUGUGAUAGUAUCUACGCCUUGGCUUAGCGCAUAUAGCGGGCACAGCUUCCAACCGUCUCGCAAGGGACAACGACUACCAACUUGACCUCGAAUCAGGCGGGACUACCCGCUGAACUUAAGCAUAUCAAUAAGCGGAGGAAAAGAAACUAACAAGGAUUCCCCUAGUAACUGCGAGUGAAGCGGGAAGAGCUCAAAUUUAAAAUCUGGCGUCUUCGGCGUCCGAGUUGUAAUUUAGAGAAGUGUUUUCCGUGUCGGACCGUGUACAAGUCUCCUGGAACGGAGCGUCAUAGAGGGUGAGAAUCCCGUCUUUGACACGGACCCCCGAUGCUUUGUGAUACGCUCUCGAAGAGUCAGUUGUUGGGGAAUGCAGCUCAAAU
rnacentral:rRNA from 1 species